UUUGCCUGCAGGCUCCAGCACUGUGCGCCCAGAUGCAACCAUAAGCUGAUACUCUUUUAGCCGGUGUUUCCUCCACAUUGGAGAAGGGAACCCAGCAUUGGUUCUUUUAAGCCAGCAUGCCAAGAGGGGGAAAGAGGAAGACCGGAAUCAAGGAGGCUCCAGGAGAGCUGGGACCAGAAACAGCUGUUCCUACAGAGUCAAGAGCAGGUAGCAAUUGCUGGUAGCAGGGAGGUGGGGAGCAAGCAGCCAGCACUAUGCCAGCUGCCUGCAAGACAGCCCAACCCAGCAGCAAUCAGAAAAGCUAUGACAGGAGCCUGGAGAAACUGGCUCCAUAACCUGGAAAGGCAGAAACAAGGAGGAAGCAACAGAGAUAAGCCCUGAAGCCCUCUCCGACUGUGGCGGACAAGCGAGUGAGAGUGUAAUGUAAAUGACAAGGAUAUCCAGGGACUACUCUACUGACGGCACAGACAAGCAAGGCAUGUAAGAAACACAAACCCCAUCCCUAUCUGGAAUCCAUGAAAAAGUCUAUACUGCCAGGAUCUUGGCCUUCGCAUGAAAAACGGGACAUGGACUAAGACCGCCACAUUACUCAUGAGAAUCUAGCUCAGAGAGUCAAGUUGUAGAUAGUGGAUACAUUGAGCCAAGCCAUUUCUGGUGUAUAAAUCAUCUCAGUGGAGUUAGGUCAUGAAUUAAUUUGUGGCCUUUUUGCAUUACUGCAUUUUGAGAUGAGCCAAGUUCUAUAGACAGUAUAUAAUUAAGAAACUGCAACUACCAUGUGCAAGAAAGGUUUGAUGCAGCCUUGGCUCAUGUUGCUUGGUUUUUCUACAGACAGCCAUCAAAACAAGGCUUUGAACAUACAAAAAGUACUAAGUAAAUACUACCCCCCAUGAAAAGCUCAGGUAAAUGAGAUCCCAGUUAAAUAUAUAAUAUCAGUUUAUAUAGAAAAUUCUGGUUGUGUGGAACUACAAAGUAAUAAUUUAAAUAAUACUGGGCAGGUUUGUCAUGCAGCAUUUCAUGAUACUGUGAUGAUAAAUUGUCUUAGAUUGGCUGCAGUAUGCAUCAAUCAUCCUGGGGCUGUGUAAGCAUUGUGAAUGAUGGGGUAGGACCAGGGCUUUGCACUGCACUGUAGCUGCUGUGGUAAAUUUGAACUGUAUCGAGGGGAAUCCGGGACAAAUGCUGUCCCAGAGUUAAGUCCCUGGCACUGGGACUUUUUUACAUUUCAGGACUGUCCUGCCCUAUUAGGGAUGGAUGGACACCCUUGGUGCCUAUACGCAUGUUCUGGGGUGUGGAAGGAGGGACAUUUUAAUUAGAGCUUGUUCGACAAGCUUUAGUUAGAGUGCUCCCACCACCAUUUUGAAACUCAGGACACCGAAUACAUGAGAUACUGCAGCAUGCUGGAGCAUUCUGAUUAGGACACUCCAGCAAACUUGAUUAAGCAAGUCUGCUCAACAACUAAUCAGUAGACCUCAGAGCACAUGUAAAAGUACCCCCUAUAGCUAAGUGAUGUCUAAAAUGACAUCAUAAGCUGCAAUUAUUAUUAAUGUACCGAAGAGGAAGAAAAUGUAAUGUAUGAGAUUCUAACUAAAUGUAAUGUGGUAAAUUUAACAAAAGAAAAAAAUGAGAUGUCUUAGGGAGUAGCACAGUUUCCAAAGAAAAGCAUAGGAAACAACAGAGCUAAGAACUUUUAAAAUUAUAUUGAUCAGUACACCAACAGUACACCAACAAUGUAAUUUAGAGAAAAAUCCUGCAGUCAUUUCCAUCUCUAAUAUCUUUACGAUUAACAUUCUUUAUAAAUAUUUUUAUUAUCAUUCCACAGAAGUCAAGCUAUUAAUCUAAACAUUGUAUCCUAAGAAAAUUCCUGUGUGGGUUGUUCUAAUAUUCUGUUUGUUAAAAUCCCACUUAAUUUUCCAUUAAAAAGUA